ACACCAACACCACACCAACACCACACCAUCACACACCAACACCACACACCACACCAACACCACACACCAGUUUUAGGAUCUACUUUGUGCCAAACUGAGACAUCACACAUUUUUACAUACAGCUUUGUUUCUAAUCCGGUUUUAUACUUUGUUAGAGUUUUCAUAGCAUUGUGUAUUUGUUACAGUUCAUGUGUUAGUUUAAUGUUCACUGUUUACACACACACACACACACACACACACACACACACACAUACACACACACACACACACACACACACACACACACACACACACACACGCCGCAGAAAUACAUCAGAGCCUCUAUCUCUUCUUCACUGCUGGGCGCUAAGUUAGCUUCGCUAUUCCAUUGUUCAGGUGGUAAUAAAGGUGUUAGAGCUGCAGCUACAUGUUCAGGUGGUAAUAAAGGUGUUAGAGCUGCAGCUCCGUGUUCAGGUGGUAAUAAAGGUGUUAGAGCUGCAGCUACAUGUUGAGGUGUAGUGAACUUUCACCACAUGUUUAAGCACAAGAUGUAUAAUGUUAUAAAAAGCCAUGUUUCAUUACAUGUAAAUACUCACUGUUUAUUAGCUCAUUGUGCCAAAAUGAAUGUAUUCAUGUAUUAUUUAUAUUUUUGGCUGUUAACACAAACCCAUGGAGCGGCUGUACGGCGUUCGCUGCGUGUCGUUAUAAUGCCUGCAUCUGAUCUACUGCUUCCUCUCUCAUGGCUUUAAAGCUAAAUGAACUACUGACUUCAGCACAAUGUCGUCCUUUGUGCAGUUUUUUAUUCGAUUGUUUUAGCUGAUUACUAGUUAAAACUCUUAACAUAAUCAUGAGUAAGUUAAGAUUUGUUUAUUAUGGACAAGUGAUGAAAUUUAUUCAUGGUGUAAACACUUUCCUGCUGGAACCUGAAGUAUUCAUCCAGAAGAAGCUACUUUGAUUCCAGUCACGUUUGUGAUCCAGUUCAUGUAUUUGGACACACGCGUGUAGACGCCGUACUUGCCCUCUUUAGCACACUCGUCACCCCAGCUGAUGAUGCCCGUCAGGAACCACGUGUCUGUGUUCAGUCUGGUGGCGUGAGGUCCUCCGCUGUCCCCUUGGCACGAGUCCUUGCGUGUGUUCAGGAACCCGGCGCAGAACAUGAAGCGUGAAAUCUUAUCGCUGCCUUUGCACUCGGUGCGGUCCACAAAGGGAACCUCCACCUUCUGCAGCCUUUCGGACUCCACCCCUCUGUAGCGUAUCCGUCCCCACCCACUGACCAGUGAGACGGAAACGCUCUUCAGCAAGGACUCUGUGAAGGUUUUUGGGCCAAGACAGAUUGGUAUGAUGUAGUCUGAGAAGGUGACGGGUGUGCUGAGCUUCAGCAGAGCGAUGUCGUGGUUGUGGCUUUGCUGAUGCUGAUAGCUGGGGUGGAUGUGGUGUUCAUCAACUUCAUGAUCACUUUCCCGAUGUUCAUCAACAUUAACAUCAUGUUCUC